UAUCAAGUGAAUACUAUUUUGAUAGAACUAGUGGAUCAGAAAAAGCAGUGAUAACAGUGAAUUGAACCAAUUUGUAGUGAUUUACUUUUUCCCAUAUAUUUCAAUAUUUCAAUUAAAUCAUUAUUUUAAAAACUCGAGUGAAUUUGCAUUUCAAAAUUUCGCCGUCUUUAUCACAGUCAUUUCUCGUGGAAUUCAGCAAAUUGCUAACGUUCCGGCAUUUCCAAUUCGUGCAUUUGUUGGUUACUUUAGCUACGGUUUUUCUUUAAAUUCUUCUCCAUAUCUUUAUCAGAAAGGAAAUAUAGUGCACUAAAUUUCAUAUGGUGUGUGCUAUGGCCCUGAGAACAUCGCUCCAGAUAUUGGAUUAUGUAAGUAAUUUGUUAAUUACAAAUCUGCAGGAAUAUAAAUUAUUUUCACUGAGAGUACGUUUCUAGAAAUGAUAUAUUAUUGCAACAAAAUUUUUAUUUAUAAAUUAAUAUACGUAAGUCAUUUAUUGGUGAAUAUUUUUGAGUUCUUUUACAUUUCAAAAAGCAUCAUAUGUUCUGUUUUUUUUCUAGCAGAUCGUUUUAUUAUAUCAUUUUCCUAUCACUUAUACAGCUACUUAUACAAAACCAAUCAAGUCUUUAAUGCCUUCUGGUCCUUAUUUACCCUAGGAUUUCAGGUUUUCCGUAAAUGUACCGAUAGCGUUUGUGCGGUACACUAUAGAGUUUAUCUUUUUCUUCUUCGUCCCUUUUCUCGUUCAGAAGCGGGGUGACACUCUUGUUGAUCAACUGCGCCAUUUUUCUUGCCUUUAGGCCUCAUCUUUGUCGAGAGGCUCCCAAAUAACGAUGUCCAUACCAUCUGGCAAUUUUUCAAUGGUCGGUGCAAUCCUAUAUCGAUCGUAGAUGUCUUCAUUUCUGAUGUGAACAUGGCGUCUCCAUUGCCAAGUAUCAUUGCUGUCGGUUUGCCGGAAUGUACGUCAGCAUUCUUUUUUUCGAGGAGACUACAUUUCUCCUUUACUGUUCUGCGCCACAUGUUCUUAAGGCACUUGUAAGUGACUCUGGCAUAGCGUAGUCCACUCCAUAGCAUAGCCAGCAAUAGAGUCCUUUUUUAUAAUGUAACAUCUACUGGUACCCGGUCGUACAUCGACACUGAGCCUGAUCUUUAUUUUUUCGAAUCCACACAAAGAUUAAAUUAAUUCCUAAAGACAGUAUUUUCUUAACACCUAUGAUAACAAUUGAUAUCGCAGCAAUUUGUUGAAGUGAGGAAACUGCAAUGCUGAAUCGAUGGUUUGUAAAUUAGCGCAGCCAUGGCGUCGGCAAUUAUUACGUACGUGUACAGGUAUUGAAUGCGCGUGGAGGUGUUAACUUAUAGUGGCAAAGAGAAAAUCAUGGCACGGAGCACCCUUAAUUUGAUGUUAGCGUUGGGGUAUCUACAUUUUCAUAUAUUCCAGCAAGUAACAAAUCCGAAUCUGGCUUUGCUAAUGCGUCUGGUUCAUAACAUUAUCAGGUAAAUUGAUCGACGCUUUCGAUAUUUUUCUCUUAAUGCAGAUAGACUGAAAACCUUGGUUUUGCCAGAGUUUAUCUUCCGUCCGACUCUGCUCACCUCUAUCUCUAAAACGAGUACCAGAGAGGGCGAAAAGUUUUCGCCAGAAUAGUCGAAGUGUUUGAAGAAAAAUAUCAUGAUCUGUUGAAUCCCUCCACAUCGCCGAGCCGUCUGUCUGUUUUUCUUGUAUAAAGGUAUAAAGCAUCUAAAGCCACAGUGUGGGAUUUUAACUUACUAAAACCGCUUCUCUCCACACCCGCUUUGCCCCGCGGAACUAUUUAUAGAGAUUACAUCGAGGGACGUUUUAAAACGCUACCGGUUUACUCUACGGUGAGAGUUGUUCCCCCCCCCCCUCCCCCCCCUAUUCUAUUCUUUCUCACUUACAAAUUUCGGUUACACGAAAAGAAUCCAGAUCCCAUAUUCACUUGUACAUUCAUGACAGAAGACGAAAUUAUCAUGUCCAAGACAAUAUAGAUACCGGCGUAUCCGCUAUGCCCAGUCAGAAACUUGGUCAAGUGAUAGUGGGCAUCUCCACUCUCCAGGUUCGCCGCUUUCUCGGUAGUGUUGGUCAAUUGGUUUUUGGAGGUUAAUCGAUGAUUCAGCAUAACAUCGAGAUAUUUGAUAAGCAAUUUGGACUCUGUUACUGUCCCGCACAAAACCUUCGAAUUUUUUUCAACUUGCAACUGCUCAAUAGCCUCAGCUUCAGUCUUGUGUUCCGGAAAUUAUAACCCACGCGAUACCAGCCAUUUCUUGAUAAAUCUGAUAGAUGUUUCACAUGCCCAGACAACAUCCUCAAGAUGUUUGUCUACUAUAAAAAUUGUGAUGUCGUCAGCAUAUUUAAUAAGGGUAGCUUGUCGCGGGAGGUUGAUGCGUAGCUCAUUAUCACGUCCCAGAGUAAGGGGCGCAGCAUCGAUACUUGAGACACUCCACCGGACUAAAUAUUCGACUGGGUCUGCGUCUGUUCCCUAGAGGAGCUUUCUAUCCACGAAAUAUUCCCUGAUGAUUAGCUAAAUAUAUUAUAAAUGAACAUUUUGCAUGCUGUCAUUGCGUAAUUAGUCCUCACCUCGAGAGUGGUAUGAACACAAUAUUUUUGAGCUUCCUACACUCAAUACAUGCAACUGCUUCCUCUGCCAGAUUGACCACUGCGCGGAUAUUAUCCACCGUUGAUCGCCACCGCGAAAACAGUACUGUUGUAUGUUUAAAUGCCAUGUUCGAUAUUCCGUGCAGCCCGGGUGCUUUUUUAGCUCCUAACUUUUCGGAGGGAUGCUCUGUUUACUUUCACUGAUUGCGUUAAAAAGCUUAGCGAACAUUUUCGCGUAGACAUCUUUGAACUCGAUUGUCUUGACUUUUUGGGUUUCUCGGAUACCCUAUUCUCCUGCGUUCCAUUAUACUAGACAGUAUAGCUUGAUGGUCGCUAUGUGUAUAGGGUUUACUAACUCGCCAGGCAUUUUUUUUUUAUCAGCGCACUGCUUCCGAGGGUAACGUCUAUUACUGUUCCUAUCUUCCCUUUACAAAAGGUAUAGGUGCUUUGCUUCCCCACUUGCUAGAACAUGUGUUAAAUUCUCCGGAGAUGAUGCACGUAGCAACUAUAGAUCAUGCACAUAGCAACUAUAGUCAUGAACACCGUUAAUUUUGGUCCUUACAAACCCAUUACUAGGUGUUGCGGUUAUUUAUUCGAAUAGAUAUCCUUACUUUAUCACCUGGAAAGAGAUCUCCUCUCUCACUGUCGCAAUUUGAAGGUCCCUGUGGAUAUUUUCGUUUUUCAUAUGCCAAGGCGCACUGGUAAUCAUCCGUAGUAUCCUGCACUGGGCUCUCUCUAGCAAGUGGAUUGUGGGUUGUUCAGAAGCCAAUACAUAUGUUUUGUUCUCUGCGUCAUUUGCAUUGUCUUCGUCUCAAUAUAUUUUUUCCCACGUCAGUCGUUUAUCCAGGUGCAAACCGAGAUACUUUACCUCAUUCUGUUGAGGGAUCGUUACACCAUUGAUUGAGACCUUAGCGCAGUUGUGAAAGUGACCUGACCACUUCAUUUCGCUUAUAGGAAUUUUCCAUUUUAUAAACCACUUUCAAUUCAAUUUAGGUG
rnacentral:lncRNA from 1 species